rnacentral:rRNA from 1 species
UACGUAGGGCGCAAGCGUUAUCCGGAAUUAUUGGGCGUAAAGAGCUCGUAGGCGGUCUGUCGCGUCGGAUGUGAAAGCCCGGGGCUUAACUCCGGGUCUGCAUUCGAUACGGGCAGACUAGAGUGUGGUAGGGGAGAUCGGAAUUCCUGGUGUAGCGGUGAAAUGCGCAGAUAUCAGGAGGAACACCGGUGGCGAAGGCGGAUCUCUGGGCCAUUACUGACGCUGAGGAGCGAAAGCGUGGGGAGCGAACAGG